CACGUAGGGGGCAAGCGUUGUCCGGAUUUAUUGGGCGUAAAGAGCUCGUAGGUGGCUUAGUAAGUCGGGUGUGAAACCUCCAGGCUCAACCUGGAGACGCCACCCGAUACUGCUAUAGCUUGAGUCCGGUAGGGGAGCGUGGAAUUCCUGGUGUAGCGGUGAAAUGCGCAGAUAUCAGGAAGAACACCCGUGGCGAAGGCGGCUCUCUGGGACGGUACUGACGCUGAGACGCGAAAGCGUGGGGAGCGAACAGG
rnacentral:rRNA from 1 species